rnacentral:rRNA from 1 species
AAUGAACGUUGGCGGCGUGGAUUAGGCAUGCAAGUCGCGCGAGAAGUCAUUUAGCUUGCUAAAAGACGGACAGCGGCGGAAGGGAGAGUAACGCGUGGUUAUGUACCCUCGAGACCGGGAUAGUGUCGGGAAACUGGCAGUAAUACCGGAUAACAUCUUCGGAUCAAAUGGUGUGAUUCCUCGCGAGGAUCGGACCGCGGACUAUUAGCUAGUUGGAGGGGUAAUGGCCCACCAAGGCUUAGAUGGUUACCGGGUGUGAGAGCAUGGCCCGGCUCACUGGGACUGAGACACUGCCCAAACAUCUACGGAUGGCUGCAGUCGAGAAUCUUCGGCAAUGGACGAAAGUCUGACCGAGCGACGCCGCGUGCGGGAUGAAGGCCUUCGGGUUGUAAACCGCUGUCAGUUAGGAGGAAAUCCAUGAGGGUUCUCUCUCAUGGUUGACCGAUUUUCAGAGGAAGGACGGGCUAAGUUCGUGCCAGCAGCCGCUGUAAAAC